rnacentral:rRNA from 1 species
AUUGAACGCUGGCGGCAUGCCUUACACAUGCAAGUCGAACGGCAGCGGGGGAGAAGCUUGCUUUUCCUGCCGGCGAGUGGCGAACGGGUGAGUAAUACAUCGGAACGUGCCCUGUAGUGGGGGAUAACUAGUCGAAAGAUUAGCUAAUACCGCAUACGACCUGAGGGUGAAAGUGGGGGACCGCAAGGCCUCAUGCUAUAGGAGCGGCCGAUGUCUGAUUAGCUAGUUGGUGGGGUAAAGGCCUACCAAGGCGACGAUCAGUAGCUGGUCGGAGAGAACGAUCAGCCACACUGGGACGGAGACACGGCCCAGACUCCUACGGGAGGCAGCAGUGGGGAAUUUUGGACAAUGGGGGAAAGCCUGAUCCAGCAAUGCCGCGUGUGUGAAGAAGGCCUUCGGGUUGUAAAGCACUUUUGUCCGGAAAGAAAUGGCUCUGGUUAAUACCUGGGGUCGAUGACGGUACCGGAAGAAUAAGGACCGGCUAACUACGUGCCAGCAGCCGCCGUAA